GACACCCUUCUGUUCCAUCAGCCAGGAGUGCAAGCAGCACCAGGCCAAGUUCUCCAACCAGUGCAUUGUCCCAUGUCUCUGGAGAGGAGGAGGAAUGGAUGUGCACUUUCUGGGCUGGUCCCCUCACUUGACAGCUACAAGGAAGCUGAAAGGACAAUUGCUUUUAAGAAGUCUACAAUACCUUGGCUGCUGGAAUUCCAUCAGAUAAGCAAUAUUUGAUUAAUAUUGGACAGUAGGAGGAGACAAAAUGGAAUAGUAUGGACAUAUUGGAAAAGCACUCAGAAGAGCUACUCAUGGAUUUGCAAUAUUCCAGCACGGGUUGCCAAUGCUGCAUUAAAAUAUUGCCUCAAAAGCAAUUCCCUAGACCCAGUGCAUGAUAAGCUGAUGAGCAACCCCCUCCUUCUCCAUUCCACAUAUCUCCUUCAAUGAUAUUUCCACCCAUCUCCUCUAUUGCCAGUGGCUUGAGCAAGCAGCCCUCUGUCACAUGCUGGGGAGCUUUGGAAGGGUCCCUCUGAAACUUGUUGGGAUUGAUUUUCCUGCCCGUGCUGGGUUAUUAUUGCCAGACCCCAGACAACCGCUCCCAGGGAACACAUCUGCCCGGUGGAGUUCAAUCUUUGGAGACUUAAAGUGCUCACUCAAAUGCACUGAACAAGAGGAAUGCUUCAGCUCCAAUCAGCUCCCAUCUUCUUUGGAAAUGCUGGCCUUGAGGCUCUACCUAAUAAUGGCAACCUGUGAGCCCAGUUUGUGCUGCACAGAUGACUAAAGAACAUAAAGAUCUCAGUCUUUCCACAAUUUGGAAGCAGAUAAAUAAGGAGCCCAGUGCUGUUAUUGUAGCUGAGUACCCAAGCCUCCAGCAAGAGGAAACUCAAGAUGCAGAAGGAAGGGGUAAAUGCC